GACGAACGCUGGCGGCAUGCCUAACACAUGCAAGUGGAGCGACGACCCGGACUUCGGUCCGGUGCAAAGCCGCGAACGGGUGAGUAACACGUGGGUUACCUGCCCCGAUGACCGGGACAACCCGAGGAAACUCGGGCUAAUACCGGAUGUGCCCGCAAGGGGAAAGGAAGCGUAAGCCUCCGCAUCGGGAUGGGCCCGCGGUGCAUUAGCUAGUUGGUGGGGUAAAGGCCUACCAAGGCGACGAUGCAUAGCUGGUCUGAGAGGACGAUCAGCCACACUGGGACGGAGACACGGCCCAGACUCCUACGGGAGGCAGCAGUGGGGAAUCUUGCGCAAUGCGCGAAAGCGUGACGCAGCAAUGCCGCGUGUGGGAAGAAGGGCUUCGGCUCGUAAACCACUUUCAGUUGGGACGAAGCUGUCGCCGUUAAUAGCGGUGUGCAGUGACGGUACCUUCACAAGAAGCCCCGGCUAACUACGUGCCAGCCGCCGCAGGUAACAC
rnacentral:rRNA from 1 species